rnacentral:lncRNA from 1 species
UUGAAGUCUGUGAAAUUGGAGAUAAAGCUUUAUGAGAGAGAAAAGAUGGAGGAAAGUUAGUGAAAUUGGAGAGAUAGAAAAGAUUAACAGAGACUCAGUGAAGUUUGAAAUUGGAGAUAAAGCUUUAUGAGAGAGAAAAGAUAGAGGAAAGUUAGUGAAAUUGGGGAGAGAGAAAAGAUUGAGAGAGACUUAGUGAAAUUGGAGAGAGAGAGAAAGAUAGAGAGACAUUAAAGUAAAAUUGUAGAGAGAGAAGCUUAAUUAGAACUUAGCAAGAGAAGCUUAGUUAGUUAGAACUUAGAAGCACAGUGAUAAUUAUCAUACUUAGAAGCACAAUGACAAUUAUUAUUAUCGG